AUUGAACGCUGGCGGCAGGCCUAACACAUGCAAGUCGGGCGGUAACAGGAAUAGCUUGCUAUUCGCUGACGAGCGGCGGACGGGUGCGUAACACGUAGGAAUCUACCCAGUAGCGGGGGAUAGCCCGGAGAAAUCCGGAUUAAUACCGCAUACGCCCUACGGGGGAAAGCAGGGGCCCCGCUUUUCUAUGAAGAGCGGACCUUGCACUACUGGAUGAGCCUGCGUCGGAUUAGCUUGUUGGUGGGGUAAAAGCCUACCAAGGCAACGAUCCGUAGCUGGUCUGAGAGGAUGAUCAGCCACACUGGGACUGAGACACGGCCCAGACUCCUACGGGAGGCAGCAGUGGGGAAUAUUGCACAAUGGGCGCAAGCCUGAUGCAGCCAUGCCGCGUGUGUGAAGAAGGCUCUAGGGUUGUAAAGCACUUUCAGCGAGGAGGAAAGGGUGAUAGUUAAUACCUGUCAUCUGUGACGUUACUCGCAGAAGAAGCACCGGCUAACUCCGU
rnacentral:rRNA from 1 species